UUAGAUACCCUGGUAGUCCACGCCGUAAACGAUGGAUACUAGGUGUGGGGGGACUGACCCCCUCCGUGCCGCAGCUAACGCAAUAAGUAUCCCACCUGGGGAGUACGAUCGCAAGGUUGAAACUCAAAGGAAUUGACGGGGGCCCGCACAAGCGGUGGAGUAUGUGGUUUAAUUCGAAGCAACGCGAAGAACCUUACCAGGGCUUGACAUCCUGCUAACGAACCAGAGAUGGAUUAGGUGCCCUUCGGGGAAAGCAGAGACAGGUGGUGCAUGGUUGUCGUCAGCUCGUGUCGUGAGAUGUUGGGUUAAGUCCCGCAACGAGCGCAACCCUUAUUGUUAGUUGCUACGCAAGAGCACUCUAACGAGACUGCCGUUGACAAAACGGAGGAAGGUGGGGACGACGUCAAAUCAUCAUGCCCCUUACGUCCUGNGCCACACACGUACUACAAUGGCGGCCAACAAAGAGAGGCAAGACCGCGAGGUGGAGCAAAUCUCANAAAGCCGUCCCAGUUCGGAUCGCANGCUGCAACCCGCCUGCGUGAAGUUGGAAUCGCUAGUAAUCGCGGAUCAGCAUGCCGCGGUGAAUACGUUCCCCGGGCCUUGUACACACCGCCCGUCACACCAUGAGAGUCNGGAACACCCCGAAGUCCGUACCCUACCCGCAAGGGGGCCCGGCCCAAAGUGGGUUCAAUAAUUGGGUGAAAUCCGACCAGGGUAGCCGAAUCCAACAACUGGGCGGCCUACUAAGGGAUCGAACCCGGUCCAAGCUUGCGGAUCAUGGCCUAGCUGGUUCUGGGGAAAUGUUUUCGUUCCAUUCA
rnacentral:rRNA from 1 species